CUCAUACACAUAAAAUAAAUCUUAAAAACUUCUUAAUUGAAUAUGUAGGUAAGACAGUUUAAAUCUGAAUGUCCUCCACAGGCUUGUGGUUUUGCAUGUCUGGUUCCCCAGGUGAUGGUACUGUUUUGGAGGUUGUGGAGCCUUUAGAAGUUGAAGCCUGGCUGUCUAAAGUAGUUAGCCAGUGGUGGGGUCUUUAAUGCACUGCCUGGGUCUGGUCCUUCUCCCUUUGCUUCAUGGUCCACUGGAUGUGACAACUCUCUUCAUGGUCCUGCUGCCACAGACAGAGCCCUCCUCCUACCUUCCCUGCUGUGAUGGAUUCAGCUCUCCAACACCAUAAGCCCAAAUAAGCGUUUCCGCCCUUAAGUUGUUGGUGAGCAUUGGACCGUGAUGACGAGGAAGUAGCCGAUACAGACACAUCCCUCGAAGAUGCCACUAAGGUGUGCCUUGCCACCAGUGUGAAAUUAGGCAGCAUUCUGCGGUUUCAUCAUGUAAGCGAGAGUCUCCGACAAGAGGUGGAUUGAAAACUGAGAAGACAAGGUUUAAAUGUUGAUGACUGAAAUGGAAGACAGAGAGAGGAGAGGAGAAGAUGGUCCCUGUGAUUCAAAGUCAAGGAAAAAAUCAGCUUUCUCUGAACUCUUGUAUUAGUUACUUUUCUGUUGCUGUGACAAAACACUGUGACCGAGAACGCGUAUAGAAGAGUUUACUUUUGGCUCACGGUCCCAGAGAGUCGGAGUCCAUGAUGGCAGCACAACAUUGCAGCAAGUGGCAGACAUGACGGCAGGAACCAAAACAGGGAGCUCACAUCUUGAACUGUAAGCACAAGACAGAAGUAUGGUGCAGCCUUAAACUCUCAGGCUACAUACUUCCUCCAGCACAGCCUCAGAAAUAUCUCCUUCAAACCGCCACACACGCACAGAGUAAUAUUUCUAGAGAUUAAAUCUCUCUCUCAGUUUUCAUUCUAUGCUCACCUUCUCCUUAGACUUUGGCAUCCCACUUGCUCAGCCUGUUGGGAAAAGAUGUGCCUCCUUAAGGAAAAUGGCCACUCUGACCAUCAUGAUUGCUAUUGUCAAUAAAAAAUAUAUUUUUUUUUAAA